rfam:Oryza barthii chromosome 5, whole genome shotgun sequence.
AAUAAGUGCAGUUUUACACUAUUCACGUUCAACGUUUGACCAUUUGUCUUAUUUGAAAUUUUUUUAUUAGUAUAUUUUAUUGCUAUUAGAUGAUAAAACAUGAAUAGUACUUUAUGUGUAACUAAAUAUUUUCAAAUUUUUUACAAAUUGUUCAAAUAAGACGGAUGAUCAAAUGUUGGGCACGGAUAUCCACGGCUGCACUUAUU